AGCGAACGCUGGCGGCAGGCCUAACACAUGCAAGUCGAACGGAUCCUUCGGGAUUAGUGGCGGACGGGUGAGUAACACGUGGGAACGUGCCCUUUGGUUCGGAACAACUCAGGGAAACUUGAGCUAAUACCGGAUGUGCCCUUCGGGGGAAAGAUUUAUCGCCAUUGGAGCGGCCCGCGUCUGAUUAGCUAGUUGGUGAGGUAACGACCCACCAAGGCGACGAUCAGUAGCUGGUCUGAGAGGAUGAUCAGCCACACUGGGACUGAGACACGGCCCAGACUCCUACGGGAAGCAGCAGUGGGGAAUCUUGCGCAAUGGGCGAAAGCCUGACGCAGCCAUGCCGCGUGAAUGAUGAAGGUCUUAGGAUUGUAAAAUUCUUUCAGCGGGGACGAUAAUGACGGUACCCGCAGAAGAAGCUCCGGCUAACUUCGUG
rnacentral:rRNA from 1 species